AUUGAACGCUGGCGGCAGGCCUAACACAUGCAAGUCGAACGAGUGGCGGACGGGUGAGUAAUGUCUGGGCAACUGCCUGAUGGAGGGGGAUAACUACUGGAAACGGUAGCUAAUACCGCAUACCAUCAGAUGUGCCCAGAUGGGAUUAGCUGGUUGGUGGGGGAACGGCUCACCAAGGCGAUGAUCCCUAGCCGGUCUGAGCGGAGGACCAGCCACACGGGAACUGAGGCACGGGCCAGACUCCUACGGGAGGAAGCAGUGGGGAAUAUUGCGCAAGGGGGGCAAGCCUGAUGCAGCCAGGCGGCGUGUAUGAAGAGGGCCUUCGGGUUGUAAAGUACUUUAAGCGGGGAGGCGUUACCCGCAGAAGAAGCACCGGCUAACUCCGUGCCAGCAGCCGCGGUAAUAC
rnacentral:rRNA from 1 species